UACGGGGGGGGCAAGCGUUGUUCGGAAUUACUGGGCGUAAAGGGCGCGUAGGCGGCCUUCUAAGUCGGACGUGAAAUCCCUCGGCUUAACCGAGGAACUGCGUCCGAUACUGAAAGGCUUGAAUCCGGGAGAGGGAUGUGGAAUUCCAGGUGUAGCGGUGAAAUGCGUAGAUAUCUGGAGGAACACCGGUGGCGAAGGCGGCAUCCUGGACCGGCAUUGACGCUGAGGCGCGAAAGCGAGGGGAGCAAACGGG
rnacentral:rRNA from 1 species